CGCCCGUUUCUAAGUAACAGCCGGUACACGUCAACAACACCCGGGCUACUACCGGUAGGCGACUGCUCGGUAAAUGGGUUCCGGCGGCAACGGAUAUGCCUGCAUGUAUCGGUAGAGUUAUCGGUGGACUAUAACAAUGUAAAUGGUGUUCUAUAUGUGGUUUAUAACGGAGGAAAAUUGCAGAUCAUUUCAGUAUUCCUGGUACUCAUUUCUGUUGGAGGCUGAGUCGACCCCAGUGCCAUAGUGCGCAUGGAAGGACUAGGUCAAUUGAAAAGAAAAUCCAAUGACUUCGUCGGAGCGUGUGUACGUAAUUUCUAAUACGUAAUAUGUUUGUGAUUAGUAAGAGAAUCGAUGUUUACCCACAGAAUGAUAUUGCGUAAGAGAAGUAAUAUGAAGUUGGUAGUGUUGUGUUAUAGUGUUUGUGAUCAUGGUGUAAUUAGGGAAUCGAACCGAAAGCAAGAAAAUGAUACAGAACAGGCGACCAGCUCUUGUUUAUGUGUGAUGACACGCGAGCAGUGUAUGAAACUGUAUGAAACAAUGUGUAGAUGUGUCCAAUAGGGAACGAUUCUGAACCACUCUAACCCAACUACAUUUUAUAUAGAACUACCCGGCUCUACCGUAGCAACUUUAGGUGAAUCUCUGGUGGAGUCCGAGUGAAGUGACAAUGCGCGUGGAUUUAUUGCGAGACUGAUACACUGGAUACAAUUAUGAAAUUAUUUGAAUUUAUGAUUUAUUUCGAACACGGGCAUGAUUAGGAAAUUGGCUCUCUGCCAAGACGAGAGUUAGAAAAUCAUAAAUAAUCAGCCAAUUUUACUGCACACGGGAGCAGUGGGACGUUUAUGUACCACUUUCAAAAUUAGGGAAUCUACAGUUAAAGCCAGACAGAAGGAAUUUUCUUGACAUGUUAGUUGCUAUGUACGUAUGUGCCCUAGGUGUGUGUAAUUUCAUUCGUGUGUUCACGGAACUUUAGGUUAACCAGUUCUAAACAAUGUUAUAUGAAAUCCUUUCUCAAGUUUAAAAUUUUCAAAUAGAUUGAAGGGCACUUGCAUCUACCACCAUAUCAUUGCCAUUACAACCUCACUGAACGGAUUUGACCCCAGACUGAGAGAUAUUACAGUAGCAGCAUUGGGUAUUUGAAAUGGAAGCUGUGGGAUGAAUGACUGGAACAGGUCACUCCAACAGUGAGAGAAAAUUAUGCAUGACAUGAAGGAAGGCGGGAAGCAGAAACCGGUAUGAAGAAUAGGGAAGCUUUGUGUCCUAUUGGUACUAGCCUUGAUGAGACCACUUAAAGAGAAAAUGAUUCAGAUGACUGGAAAGGCUCACUUGGAUAAAUAUUAAUAUUGAAGAAAGC